rnacentral:rRNA from 1 species
UGAACGCUGGCGGCGUGCUUAACACAUGCAAGUCGAACGAAGCUCUUGACUGGAGGAUUCGUCCAAAGGGAGUGAGAUGACUUAGUGGCGGACGGGUGAGUAACGCGUGGUAACCGUGCCGUAUUCUGGGGGACAACAGUUGGAAACGACUGCUAAUACCGCAUAAGCGCACAGUACCGCAUGGUACAGUGUGAAAAACUCCGGUGGAAUACGAUGGACCCGCGUCUGAUUAGCUAGUUGGUGAGGUAACGGCCCACCAAGGCGACGAUCAGUAGCCGGCCUGAGAGGGUGAACGGCCACAUUGGGACUGAGACACGGCCCAAACUCCUACGGGAGGCAGCAGUGGGGAAUAUUGCACAAUGGGGGAAACCCUGAUGCAGCCGACGCCGCGUGAGUGAAGAAGUAUCUCGGUAUGUAAAGCUCUAUCAGCAGGGAAGAAAAUGACGGUACCUGACUAAGAAGCCCCGGCUAACUACGUGCCAGCAGCAGC